rnacentral:rRNA from 1 species
UACGGAGGGGGCUAGCGUUGUUCGGAAUCACUGGGCGUAAAGGGCGCGUAGGCGGCUUUAUAAGUCGGGGGUGAAAGCCUGUGGCUCAACCACAGAAUUGCCUUCGAUACUGUAGAGCUUGAGACCGGAAGAGGUAAGUGGAACUGCGAGUGUAGAGGUGAAAUUCGUAGAUAUUCGCAAGAACACCAGUGGCGAAGGCGGCUUACUGGUCCGGUUCUGACGCUGAGGCGCAAAAAGCCAGGGGAGCAAACGGG